rnacentral:tRNA from 1 species
GGUGGAGUGGUGUAUAGUGGUUAGCACACCCGACCGGACAUUGGGAGGCCCAGAGUUCAAAUCCUGGCUCCGCCA